CAGGGUGGAGCUGGUGGUCCAGCAGCCAGCCAGGUGCUGGCAGGAGGCGGGUUCGAAUCCCGUCAUCCUGA
rnacentral:tRNA from 1 species